rnacentral:rRNA from 1 species
UGGCUCAGGACGAACGCUGGCGGCGUGCUUAACACAUGCAAGUCGAACGAUGAAGCCUUUCGGGGUGGAUUAGUGGCGAACGGGUGAGUAACACGUGGGCAAUCUGCCCUUCACUCUGGGACAAGCCCUGGAAACGGGGUCUAAUACCGGAUAACACUCUGUCCCGCAUGGGACGGGGUUAAAAGCUCCGGCGGUGAAGGAUGAGCCCGCGGCCUAUCAGCUUGUUGGUGGGGUGAUGGCCUACCAAGGCGACGACGGGUAGCCGGCCUGAGAGGGCGACCGGCCACACUGGGACUGAGACACGGCCCAGACUCCUACGGGAGGCAGCAGUGGGGAAUAUUGCACAAUGGGCGAAAGCCUGAUGCAGCGACGCCGCGUGAGGGAUGACGGCCUUCGGGUUGUAAACCUCUUUCAGCAGGGAAGAAGCGAAAGUGACGGUACCUGCAGAAGAAGCACCGGCUAACUACGUGCCAGCAGCCGCGGUAAUACGUAGGGUGCGAGCGUUGUCCGGAAUUAUUGGGCGUAAAGAGCUCGUAGGCGGCUUGUCACGUCGGAUGUGAAAGCCCGGGGCUUAACCCCGGGUCUGCAUUCGAUACGGGCUAGCUAGAGUGUGGUAGGGGAGAUCGGAAUUCCUGGUGUAGCGGUGAAAUGCGCAGAUAUCAGGAGGA